AGUGAACGCUGGCGGUAGGCCUAACACAUGCAAGUCGAACGGCAGCACAGUAAGAGCUUGCUCUUACGGGUGGCGAGUGGCGGACGGGUGAGGAAUACAUCGGAAUCUACUUUUUCGUGGGGGAUAACGUAGGGAAACUUACGCUAAUACCGCAUACGACCUACGGGUGAAAGCAGGGGAUCUUCGGACCUUGCGCGAUUGAAUGAGCCGCUGUCGGGUUAGCUAGUUGGCGGGGUAAUGGCCCACCAAGGCGGCGAUCCGUAGCUGGUCUGAGAGGAUGGUAGGCCACAUUGGAACUGAGACACGGUCCAGACUCCUACGGGAGGCAGCAGUGGGGAAUAUUGGACAAUGGGCGCAAGCCUGAUCCAGCCAUACCGCGUGGGUGAAGAAGGCCUUCGGGUUGUAAAGCCCUUUUGUUGGGAAAGAAAAGCAGCAGGUUAAUACCCCGCUGUUCUGACGGUACCCAAAGAAUAAGCACCGGCUAACUUCGUG
rnacentral:rRNA from 1 species